rnacentral:lncRNA from 1 species
AAACAUUUAUCUUUCCUCUCUGCCUUGUCUCUCCAGAAACUGGAGACACUUGGGUUCUGAGGAGCCUUGUCAGGUAAAUAAAAAGACUGUCUCCUGAUAUAAACAGGAAUCUCAAAGUAUACUGGGGACCUCUAGAAGAAAAAAAAUCCACUUAGAUAAAAUCUGAUGACAGGUUUAUGACAUCUGUAGUCAAUGGACCAAACAUUUAAAAAACAAAUCAGUCUUGGCUAUGUUUAAUAAAAAUGGUAAUAAUUUUAAAAGAAACAUAUAUUAAGGUCUGCAUUUUGGCAUAAAAGAUGUCUUACAAAUGGUUUUAAUUGAGAGAGCUUGAAAUGAAUUACUUUUUCUAGUUAAGAAUAAUCAAAUUUUAUACAUAUAGGAGUCAGUAAAA